rnacentral:rRNA from 1 species
UACAGAGGGUGCGAGCGUUGUCCGGAAUCACUGGGCGUAAAGGGCGCGUAGGCUGGCGCGACAAGUCAGUGGUGAAAGUUCGACGCUCAACGUCGAAUCGGCCACUGAUACUGUUGGGCUUGAGCACUGUAGAGGCUAAUGGAAUUCCUGGUGUAGCGGUGGAAUGCGCAGAUAUCAGGAGGAACACCGGUGGCGAAGGCGGGUCUCUGGGCAGUAACUGACGCUGAGGAGCGAAAGCGUGGGGAGCGAACAGG